rnacentral:tRNA from 1 species
GGGGUUGUAGCUCAGUGAUAGAGCACUUGCCUAGCAUGCGUGAGGCACUGGGUUCAAUCCCUGGCACCA